rnacentral:rRNA from 1 species
GACGAACGCUGGCGGCGUGCCUAACACAUGCAAGUCGAGCGGAGAUGUGCUGACGGAAGGCUUCGGCUGGAAGACGGUACAUUUUAGCGGCGGACGGGUGAGUAACGCGUGAGCAACCUUUCCUUCACAGGGGGAUAAGAUACCGAAAGGUGUUCUAAUACCGCAUGAGACCACAGAGCCACAUGGCUUAGGGGUCAAAGGAGUAAUCCGGUGAAGGGUGGGCUCGCGUCCGAUUAGCUAGUUGGUGAGGUGACGGCCCACCAAGGCGACGAUCGGUAGCCGACCUGAGAGGGUGAUCGGCCACAUUGGAACUGAGAGACGGUCCAAACUCCUACGGGAGGCAGCAGUGGGGAAUAUUGGGCAAUGGGGGAAACCCUGACCCAGCAACGCCGCGUGAAGGAAGAAGGUCUUCGGAU